UAGAACCGAAUUAGCUUCCAGAAUUUAGCUAUGCUUGAUGUCUGCACAUAACACGAGGCGGUCUGGAAAAAGCUUGCCAGGGCUUUUUUGUCUUCUCUUCAUCGAUCUACCAGGAACUGCAAAUUGAAGGGAACAAUAUAAUCUGAAUAUGGAGGUCCCUGAGAGAGUACACGUAAAGUUCACCCUGGAAGCUACACAGUUGAAGCACUAGUAACAGAAUAAGCAGAACACGCUUGGCUGUCAUUUUACCAAUCUCUACUACAGUCCUAACACACAUGAAAGAGCGGUGACUGACUGGCAACUCCAUGCAGAUGAAACAGUACAGUUUGGACAAUGCAAACCUACGUGAAGUAUCAGGCGAAAAUUCCCCCAUGCUUUGCUCUUCUGGGUGAUGAAAUAAUUUCCUGAGGGAACUGAGGAAACCACCCCAUGAUGUCAAAUUGUUUAAAGGCAAAGUGGAGCACUCCAGGACCAUGCAGCAACCCCUGAUGGUCAGCGUGCCGUAGACAGUCUGCUGCUCUCCUUCAGCACAGAGCCCUGGGAGCUGCAGGCCAGGAGCUAGUGGUGGCCUUGGCAUUAAGCUCCUAAGCUGCCUGCAUGCUGGCAGAGCCCUGGCAGAUAUGAGCACAGAGCCUUCUUCCCAAAAUCAACAUGAACCCUAGCUGCAAUUGUCUUAAGGUCAAGGUCCGGACAAAGCUGACUCUAAGCAGUUAGCUACUUAACAUCCUUGUUUCACCCUUUGUAAAAUGGCAUCAUCACUGGGAAAUGCCUUGAAAUUCUUAUCUAGAAGCUGCUUUACAAAUUGGAACAUUAUUUUCAUUAGGUUACUGUGAAACUAGAAAAAAAUUUACCCUGGACUUUUUCUCAUAUGUGUUUACACCUAGAAGGCAGCCUACAUGGUCCCGUAUCUAGACAGACUCGUGGGCACAGUGUUUCUCAAGGCAUAAAUCAUUUUAGAGGCUCACUAGGUUUAUUUCAGACAGUUCCAUCUUCUCUAUUUGAAACAGGCUUUCUUAUCAGCCUAAUUGCAGCCGUUAAACCAUUUGUGGCCAGAAUUUUUUGUUUGUGUGCCAACAUUAGUGUCAGCAGGAGAAUGAUCACUGGCGGUGACGCUAACUAUCAAAUAUGUAGUUGCUCUCCAGUAACAGUAACUAAGAGCUUUAAACGGGAAACAAAACUCUAUAAAAACUGCUUAUUCUGAUUCUAAAAGGAUCAGAUAAAAUGAGGAACCUUCUCUGAACUGUUGGGAUGAUUUUGUGAUGAGCUACAUGGCUUGGGCAAUCUGAUUAUGAGCCAUCUGCAUCUCACACCUCCUUGAAGGCCAGAUUUGCUCUUUGCCACUUUUUUCUUUGGGGUUGCACCAUCUUUUGCUUUCAGGUGUCUACACUAACGAGAUUUUGAUAGCUUCUUGUACAAAGCAGUGCAAUUUAAUGCUUUUGCCUAACUAGACCUGUAUUAGUUUAUGCGAAGCAAGAGCAUGCCUUUCUGACAAAGAUCUCUCUAAUCCAUUGAGUACAUCGUGUAAAUGUUUAUUGAUUUUUUUUAUGAGCGCAAUGAUUUGGUAAUUAUCUUUAAAUCAUUUAUCUUCUGAGUGUGCAGUGUUCAAUGUAUGGUUUUAUUGAUUAAA